ACAACGGCCGUUAUGAAGGCUUGCAGGAGCUGGCAAGACGUCCUGAUGGCGGGCGGUGGAGGCUGGGCAAGCGGGUGGCUGUGAAGGAGCUUCUGUGUGACCUGCCCGACCUGACCUUUGAAUAGUACGAGCUGAGGAAGAAGAAAUUCAAGAGAGAGGCCAGCAUCUUGCAAUGCCUGAGGCAGUGUCCGUUUGUGGUUCGUUUCGAAGGAGCCGUGGUGCAGGGACCCAACAUGUACAUCCUCAUGGAGGUUCUGGACGGGGGCAACCUCCAAGAAUUCAUCAGGAACAACCACGAUGGUGUACAACUUUGCCAUUCAAAUAGCGGACGGCAUGGCGUACAUCGCGUCCAAUCGAAUCAUCCACAUCGACCUGGCCCCGAAAAACUGCCUCAUUACUCGAAGGUUCUUAGUUAAAAUCGCAGACUUUGGUCUAUCACGAAAGUUGGCUCCUGAACGCUGCUGCUACCACUACCAGAUCGAUUUGCCGCAUCGGAAGCGUCUCAAAAUCUACCUUCCGAGCUUCAUUGCCCCCGAG